UGUAGAAGUUCGUCCAGAAUCCAUCCACUAUGAAAGUUUGGACGGAGUCCAGUUCUUGCAAAAGGCUGAAAGGAGGCCGCUUAUUGUAGCAGCUUGGAUGAGGAUCGAUUGUCGUGGAAGCUCGGAGUAGUAUCCUGGUUGGUAGAGCCCGUCUCGUUAUAGAAGCUCGUCCAGAAUCCAUCUGUAAUAGAAGUUCGGAAGAAAUUCAUUUACAGUAGAGGCUCGA
rnacentral:lncRNA from 1 species